rfam:Desulfobacteraceae bacterium 4572_35.1 ex4572_35.1_scaffold_290, whole genome shotgun sequence.
UUUCAUUUCUAAUGAUCGAAAUUAUUAAAUCGACAGGAGAUUAGAGGAAGAUGGUGCAAAACCAUCGCGGACCCGCCACUGUGACCGGAAGUUAUUUCGGAAGUCAGAUACUCUUUCCCUUAAAGUCAAAACC